GCAAGUCGAACGGUAACAUUGGAGCUUGCUCCAGAUGACGAGUGGCGCACGGGUGAGCAACGCGUACACGACCUACCUUAAAGAGGGGAUAGCCUCGGGAAACUGAGAAUAAUACCCCAUGUGGUUGAUUCAACUAAAAAGAUCAAUUAAAGGCUUCGGCUGCUUUAAGAUGGGUGUGCGUACUAUUAGAUAGUUGGUGAGGUAACGGCUCACCAAGUCAACGAUAGUUAGGGGGCGUGAGAGCGUGAUCC
rnacentral:rRNA from 1 species